UAUUGCACAAUGGGGGAAGCCCUGAUGCAGCGACGCCGCGUGAGUGAAGAAGUAUUUCGGUAUGUAAAGCUCUAUCAGCAGGGAGGAAAAAGACGGUCCCUGAUUAAGAAGCCCCGGCGAACUACGUGCCAGCAGCCGCGGUAAUACGUAGGGGGCAAGCGUUAUCCGGAUUUACUGGGUGUAAAGGGAGCGUAGACGGCAGCGCAAGUCUGAAGUGGAAUGCCGGGGCUUAACCCCGGAACUGCUUUGGAAACUGUGCAGCUAGAGUGCAGGAGAGGUAAGUGGAAUUCCUAGUGUAGCGGUGAAAUGCGUAGAUAUUAGGAGGAACACCAGUGGCGAAGGCGGCUUACUGGACUGUAACUGACGUUGAGGCUCGAAAGCGUGGGGAGCAAACAGG
rnacentral:rRNA from 1 species